rnacentral:rRNA from 1 species
CCUACGGGAGGCAGCAGUGAGGAAUAUUGGUCAAUGGGCUCGAGCCUGAACCAGCCAAGUCGCGUGAAGGAUGACUGCCCUACGGGUUGUAAACUUCUUUUAUAAAGGAAUAAAGUGAGGCACGUGUGCCUUUUUGUAUGUACUUUAUGAAUCAGGCUCGGCUAACUCCGUGCCAGCAGCCGCGGUAAUACGGAGGACCAGAGCGUUAUCCGGAUUUAUUGGGUUUAAAGGGAGCGUAGAUGGGUUGUUAAGUCAGUUGUGAAAGUUUGCGGCGCAACCGUAAAAUUGCAAUUGAUACUGGCAGCCUUGAGUACAGUUGAGGUAGGCGGAAUUCGUGGUGUAGCGGUGAAAUGCUUAGAUAUCACGAAGAACUCCGAUUGCGAAGGCAGCCUACUAAACUGCCACUGACAUUGAUGCUCGAAAGUGUGGGUAUCAAACAGGAUUAGAUACCCUAGUAGUC